ACGGAAGGCAGCAGUAGGGAAUAUUGCACAAUGGGGGGAACCCUGAUGCAGCCAUGCCGCGUGUGUGAAGAAGGCCUUCGGGUUGUAAAGCACUUUCAGUUUGGAGGAAAGUAGCAAUUCGAAAAGGGUUGCUAUGUGACGUUACAAACAGAAGAAGCACCGGCUAACUCCGUGCCAGCAGCCGCGGUAAUACGGAGGGUGCGAGCGUUAAUCGGAAUAACUGGGCGUAAAGAGCACGUAGGUGGUUAAGUAAGUCAGAUGUGAAAGCCCUGGGCUCAACCUAGGAUGUGCAUUUGAAACUGUUUAACUAGAGUACUGUAGAGGGAGGUAGAAUUCCAGGUGUAGCGAUGAAAUGCGUAGAUAUCUGGAGGAAUACCGGUGGCGAAGGCGGCCUCCUGGACAGAGACUGACGCUGAGGUGCGAAAGCAUGGGUAGCAAACAGGAUUAGAUACCCUGGUA
rnacentral:rRNA from 1 species